UUCUUUAUGUAGCCUUGGCUGUCCGGGAACUCACUAUGUAGACCAGGCUGGCCUGGAACUCAGAGAUGUACCUGCCUCUGCUUCCCAAGUGCUGGGAUUAAAAGUAUGCACUACCA
rnacentral:miRNA from 1 species